ensembl:misc_RNA Y_RNA Y RNA
GGUUGAUCCAAAGGUAAUGAGUUAUCAAUUCACAGUCACAGAUCAAACUCCUUGUUCUACUCUUUCCUCCCUUUUCACUAUUGCAUGUGGCUAGUCUUCA